AGAGUUUGAUCCUGGCUCAGAACGAACGCUGGCGGCGUGUUUAAGACAUGCAAGUCGCACGGAGAGAUUCGGUAUUUAUAUUGGAGAUCUCAGUGGCGCACGGGUGAGUAACACGUGAAUUACAUGCCCUUCAGAGGGGGAUAGCCCAGGGAAACUUGGAUUAAUACCCCAUAGUAUCGAAAGAUUAAAGGUGGCUUCGGCUGCCGCUGAAGGAUUGGUUCGCGCCCUAUCAGCUUGUUGGUGAGGUAAUAGCUCACCAAGGCAACGACGGGUACCUGGUUUGAGAGGACGAUCAGGCACACUGGAACUGAGACACGGUCCAGACACCUACGGGUGGCAGCAGUCGAGAAUAAUUCACAAUGGGGGCAACCCUGAUGGUGCAACGCCGCGUGGAGGAUGACGGUCUUCGGAUUGUAAACUCCUGUCAUCUGAGAGUAAGACCUAGACGUUAAUAGCGUAUAGGGUUGAUAGUAUCAGAAGAGGAAGGGACGGCUAACUUCGUGCCAGCAGCCGCGGUAAUACGAAGGUCCCAAGCGUUGUUCGGAAUCACUGGGCGUAAAGGGAGCGUAGGCUGCGCGGUAAGUCAGAUGUGAAAUCCCGGGGCUCAACCCCGGAACUGCAUCCGAUACUGCCGCGCUAGAGUAAUGGAGGGGUAACUGGAAUUUACGGUGUAGCAGUGAAAUGCGUGGAUAUCGUGAGGAACACUUGUGGCGAAAGCGAGUUGCUGGACAUUUACUGACGCUGAGGCUCGAAGGCUAGGGUAGCGAAAGGGAUUAGAUACCCCUGUAGUCCUAGCAGUAAACGGUGUGCGCUUGGUGUAGGAGGAUUCGACCCCUUCUGUGCCGGAGCUAACGCGUUAAGCGCACCGCCUGGGAAGUACGGUCGCAAGACUAAAACUCAAAGAAAUUGACGGGGACCCGCACAAGCGGUGGAGUAUGUGGCUUAAUUCGAUGCAACGCGAAGAACCUUACCAAGGCUUGACAUGCAUCUCUAAGCUCGUGAAAACGAGUGACCCUUCGGGGGAUUUGCACAGGUGCUGCAUGGCCGUCGUCAGCUCGUGUCGUGAGAUGUUGGGUUAAGUCCCGCAACGAGCGCAACCCUUGUGGUUAGUUGCCAGCACGUAAAGGUGGGAACUCUAGCCAGACUGCCCAGAUCAACUGGGAGGAAGGUGGGGACGACGUCAGGUCAGUAUGGCCCUUACGCCUUGGGCUGCACACGUACUACAAUGCCCAGUACAAUGAGAGCCGAAACCGCGAGGUGGAGGAAAUCUACAAAACUGGGCCCAGUUCGGAUUGGAGGCUGCAACUCGCCUCCAUGAAGUUGGAAUCGCUAGUAAUGGCACAUCAGCUACGGUGCCGUGAAUACGUUCCCGGGUCUUGUACACACCGCCCGUC
rnacentral:rRNA from 1 species